GAGGGUGUAGCUCAAGCGAUAGAGCACAUGCUUAGCAUGCACGAGGUCCUGGGUUCAAGCCCCAGCACCUCCU
rnacentral:tRNA from 1 species